GGAAGGUUGGCCGAGUGGUUUAAGGCGCAAGUCUCGAAAACUUGUGGGCGCAAGCCCUCACAGGUUCGAAUCCUGUACCUUCCGCCA
rnacentral:tRNA from 1 species